CCCAAGUUGCUGAAGGGAUUAGACCCCUUCAGUGACUUACCGGAGUCCAGCACCGAUGUCCCUCGGUGCUGGGUCAGGCCCCACCUAUUCUCCACCACCGCUUACGCAAGCCGGCGGGGAUGACCUAAAGCGCAUGCGUGGUAAUGGUAAUUCUACAAUGCUUUCCUAUGGGGAUUUCGGCGAUGCUGGAGGUCCUCACAGUUUUAGUUUUAAAACACUUUUAGUGUUCUAUGAACACGGAAGUCACUCUAGUGGCUGUCUAGUAGACAGCCAAUAGAGGAG